rnacentral:misc_RNA from 1 species
UACAGAGGGCUCGAGCGUUAAUCGGAUUCAUUGGGCUUAAAGCGUACGUAGGCGGAUGUGCAGGCAUCUUGUGAAAUCCCCCGGCUCAACUGGGGAACUGCGAGGUGAACCGCAUGUCUUGAGGCAAGUAGGGGCUGUCGGAACGAUAGGUGGAGCGGUGAAAUGCGUUGAUAUCUAUCGGAACGCCGAAGGUGAAAACAGGCAGCUGGGCUUGUUCUGACGCUGAGGUACGAAAGCGUGGGGAGCAAACGGG